AUCCAGCUGACGAGUCUGAAAUAGGACGAAACGCGCGUUCUGGAU
rnacentral:hammerhead_ribozyme from 1 species